CAGCCGCCGCGGGAAUACGAAGGGUGCAAGCGUUACUCGGAAUUACUGGGCGUAAAGCGUGCGUAGGCGGUGAGUUAAGUCUGCUGUGAAAUCCCCGGGCUCAACCUGGGAAUGGCAGUGGAUACUGGCUCGCUAGAGUGUGUCAGAGGAUGGUGGAAUUCCCGGUGUAGCGGUGAAAUGCGUAGGGAUCGGGAGGAACAUCAGUGGCGAAGGCGGCCAUCUGGGACAACACUGACGCUGAAGCACGAAAGCGUGGGGAGCAAACAGGAUUAGAUACCCCCGUAGUCCCUGUCUCUUAUAC
rnacentral:rRNA from 1 species